GCCCGUCCUAGUAGCUUAAAGUUAAAGCACUG
rnacentral:tRNA from 1 species